rnacentral:rRNA from 1 species
UACGUAGGGGGCAAGCGUUGUCCGGAUUUAUUGGGCGUAAAGAGCGUGUAGGCGGCCAGGUAGGUCUGCUGUGAAAACUCGAGGCUCAACCUCGAGACGCCGAUGGAAACCCUCCAGCUAGAGUCCGGAAGAGGAGAGUGGAAUUCCUGGUGUAGCGGUGAAAUGCGCAGAUAUCAGGAAGAACACCCGUGGCUAAGGCGGCUCUCUAGUACGGUACUGACGCUGAGACGCGAAAGCGUGGGGAGCGAACAGG